AAUUUCAGAGGAAAAUCGUGUAGAUCUGCAAGAGGAAGGCACUAGGGAUUUUUAGAGAGAGAAAGAACGAAUUUUGGUUUUGAUUUGAGAGAGAAAUAAACCCUAUAUCCGGUUAUAUAAGUCGCGGCUACAGUACUCGUACCGGUACGGGAUCGUGUACCGGUACACGAUCUCAGAUUUCGAAAAUUUGAUUUGAAAAUCCAUCACAUUUAAAUUAAUUUCAUAUAAAUUAAGGUUUUACUCCAAAAAUCAUUAUAAUGAAAAUAAAAUAUUAUAAAAUUUCAAAAUACAUCGAAACAUCAAAAUUUUAUAAUCAAAACUGAUUUCAAGUUUCAAAAUUAUCAAGAUGUGAGUUGAUGAAGAAUGAUUUUUAGAAAUUCAACAAAAUUGACACCAAUUUAUCGUAAUAUGUUCAAAAUAGAGAUUUAACUAAUAUGGCACCGGGGGUGGCUCUUUGAGCAUCUUUUCAACUUACCACCUUAUACCUCCGAAAAUUCUAAAAUAUUCAAAUUUUUUUUUUUAAACUUUUUCGGUUACACAAUUUAAUCUUCAUGUGGUAGCUUCACACACUUGCCAGACGACCGGGGUGGUAGCUCUUUCCUACAUGUGGUGGUAGUUUUCACACUCCUUUAGGAUGUAACUCUUUCCACAUCUUUUUAAACAUAGGAGUUUCUUUUUCCUUUUUUUUAUUUUCAAACUCCCCCUAAAUUAGACAAUCUCACAAUUGAAAAUAAUUUUGACGAAUUUUAGUCAAUUAGAGAAUAUCCAUCCAUCAUAUCCAACACACACAACCAAGAUGAAUUAAUCACCAAGAGAUCAAAUUUGAUUUCAAAACUUUGAUGAAUAUAGGCAUUAAAAGAUCAUAUAUCAAAUUAUCGUCGAAAUAAUAAAAAGUGGAGUAAAACCGAUAAUUAAUAUGAAUUUAACUUAAUUAUCAUUGUGAAGAUAAACACCGUUCAAACACCUUUCCUUUUUUUUUAAAAAAAAAAUUUCUCUCUCCAAAUCAUAGAUCUCAAUCAUCUCUUUUCUCGAAAAUUUUUAAUUCCUAAACACAUUUUCCUCAAAAUGAUUUUUAAAUAAACAAAAAUUCAAUGCACCAAAAAUCAUUCAAACAUGUAAUGCAAUGAAUAAAAUUAAACAACAAGCACCAAUCAAAGCAUUACACUAAAGAUCAAAAAUGACUAAGACGAGGAGCAAGGAAAGAUAUCACCUUUCUAGAUCCAAACU
rnacentral:lncRNA from 1 species